rnacentral:rRNA from 1 species
AUUGAACGCUGGCGGCAGGCCUAACACAUGCAAGUCGAACGGUAACAGGAAGAAGCUUGCUUCUUUGCUGACGAGUGGCGGACGGGUGAGUAAUGUCUGGGAAACGGCCUGAUGGAGGGGGAUAACUACUGGAAACGGUAGCUAAUACCGCAUAAUGUCGCAAGACCAAAGAGGGGGACCUUCGGGCCUCUUGCCAUCGGAUGUGCCCAGAUGGGAUUAGCUAGUAGGUGGGGUAACGGCUCACCUAGGCGACGAUCCCUAGCUGGUCUGAGAGGAUGACCAGCCACCCUGGAACUGAGACACGGUCCAGACUCCUACGGGAGGCAGCAGUGGGGAAUAUUGCACAAUGGGCGCAAGCCUGAUGCAGCAAUGCCGCGUGUAUGAAGAAGGCCUUCGGGUUGUAAAGUACUUUCAGCGGGGAGGAAGGGAGUAAAGUUAAUACCUUUGGUCAUUGACGUUACCCGCAGAAGAAGCACCGGCUAACUCCGUG